rnacentral:rRNA from 2 species
AAAUUGAAGAGUUUGAUCAUGGCUCAGAUUGAACGCUGGCGGCAGGCCUAACACAUGCAAGUCGAACGGUAACAGGAAGCAGCUUGCUGCUUUGCUGACGAGUGGCGGACGGGUGAGUAAUGUCUGGGAAACUGCCUGAUGGAGGGGGAUAACUACUGGAAACGGUAGCUAAUACCGCAUAACGUCG